CAGUAGCCGCGGGAAUACGAAGGGGGCUAGCGUUGUUCGGAUUUACUGGGCGUAAAGGGCGCGUAGGCGGGCGAAUAAGUCAGGGGUGAAAUCCCAAGGCUCAACCUUGGAACUGCCUUUGAUACUGUUUGUCUUGAGUUCGAGAGAGGUAAGUGGAACUGCGAGUGUAGAGGUGAAAUUCGUAGAUAUUCGCAAGAACACCAGUGGCGAAGGCGGCUUACUGGCUCGAAACUGACGCUGAGGCGCGAAAGCGUGGGGAGCAAACAGGAUUAGAUACCCGCGUAGUCCCUGUCUCUUAUAC
rnacentral:rRNA from 1 species